rnacentral:lncRNA from 1 species
GGAGGUUAAAAGCAAGAUACAGUCAGGAUGAGUACCUUCUCACUGCCAAAGUAGUUGGAGGGACAUCAAACACCAGUGAUGGGAACACUGAACCUCACAUAAGGGGCAAUGCAGCAUCUCUGCCUUCUUCUGGGUAUUCCUCUUAAAUGGCUUGACAAUAACCACCAACCAGCACUGCCAUACAUGUGUCCUGUACCUAUCAGAGGCACUAGGGCAGUUUUGGAACAGAGAGCCCAUAGAAAGGCUACUGCUUAGAGAUAGCCAUUUUCUUCUUGGAGCUGGACCAGUGAAUUAGACGCAUGGAGGAGAGCUGGAAAAUCCCUUUUUGGAAGAGCUACACAAAACCAAAAUUUGGAAUUCGUAGCUAAUAACCAUAAAAAUUAAGAAAUGACUGUUGGAAGAGCACUGGAAAUCACCUGAUUAAGUUAAGAAAAACUAACUAGCUCAUGAGAAAAUUAUUUUCAGGCCAGCUGUAGCCUGUACCCUUU